rnacentral:rRNA from 1 species
UCGGGAAUUUUGGGCAAUGGGCGAAAGCCUGACCCAGCAACGCCGCGUGAAGGAUGAAGUAUUUCGGUAUGUAAACUUCGAAAGAAUAGGAAGAAUAAAUGACGGUACUAUUUAUAAGGUCCGGCUAACUACGUGCCAGCAGCCGCGGUAAUACGUAGGGACCAAGCGUUGUUCGGAUUUACUGGGCGUAAAGGGCGCGUAGGCGGUGUGUCAAGUCAGUUGUGAAAUCUCCGAGCUUAACUCGGAACGGUCAACUGAUACUGUCACACUAGAGUACAGAAGGGGCAAUCGGAAUUCUUGGUGUAGCGGUGAAAUGCGUAGAUAUCAAGAGGAACACCUGAGGUGAAGACGGGUUGCUGGGCUGACACUGACGCUGAGGCGCGAAAGCCAGGGGAGCAAACGGGAUUAGAUACCCCGGUAGUCCCUGAGCGGGCUGGCAAGGCGCAU